rnacentral:rRNA from 1 species
UUGCUGGGUGGAUUAGUGGCGAACGGGUGAGUAACACGUGAGUAACCUGCCCUCGACUCCAGGAUAAGCCCGGGAAACUGGGUCUAAUACUGGAUAUUCAAUUUCUGCCGCAUGGUGGUUUUUGGAAAGGAUUCUGGUCGAGGAGGGACUCGCGGCCUAUCAGCUUGUUGGUGAGGUAAUGGCUCACCAAGGCGACGACGGGUAGCCGGCCUGAGAGGGUGACCGGCCACACUGGGACUGAGACACGGCCCAGACUCCUACGGGAGGCAGCAGUGGGGAAUAUUGCACAAUGGGCGAAAGCCUGAUGCAGCGACGCCGCGUGAGGGAUGACGGCCUUCGGGUUGUAAACCUCUUUCAGUAGGGAAGAAGCGAAAGUGACGGUACCUGCAGAAGAAGCGCCGGCUAACUACGUGCCAGCAGCCGCGGUAAUACGUAGGGCGCAAGCGUUAUCCGGAAUUAUUGGGCGUAAAGAGCUCGUAGGCGGUUUGUCGCGUCUGCCGUGAAAGUCCGGGGCUUAACUCCGGAUCUGCGGUGGGUACGGGCAGACUAGAGUGCUGUAGGGGAGACUGGAAUUCCUGGUGUAGCGGUGAAAUGCGCAGAUAUCAGGAGGAACACCGAUGGCGAAGGCAGGUCUCUGGGCAGUAACUGACGCUGAGGAGCGAAAGCAUGGGGAGCGAACAGGAUUAGAUACCCUGGUAGUCCAUGCCGUAAACGUUGGGCACUAGAUGUGGGGGACAUUCCACGUUUUCCGCGUCGUAGCUAACGCAUUAAGUGCCCCGCCUGGGGAGUACGGCCGCAAGGCUAAAACUCAAAGGAAUUGACGGGGGCCCGCACAAGCGGCGGAGCAUGCGGAUUAAUUCGAUGCAACGCGAAGAACCUUACCAAGGCUUGAC